UCAGACAGACGUCUAAAAACAACUUCCAG
rnacentral:sRNA from 1 species